CGAAUGCUGACAUAAGUAACGAUAAAGCGGGUGAAAAGCCCGCUCGCCGGAAGACCAAGGGUUCCUGUCCAACGUUAAUCGGGGCAGGGUGAGUCGACCCCUAAGGCGAGGCCGAAAGGCGUAGUCGAUGGGAAACAGGUUAAUAUUCCUGUACUUGGUGUUACUGCGAAGGGGGGACGGAGAAGGCUAUGUUGGCCGGGCGACGGUUGUCCCGGUUUAAGCGUGUAGGCUGGUUUUCCAGGCAAAUCCGGAAAAUCAAGGCUGAGGCGUGAUGACGAGGCACUACGGUGCUGAAGCAACAAAUGCCCUGCUUCCAGGAAAAGCCUCUAAGCAUCAGGUAACAUCAAAUCGUACCCCAAACCGACACAGGUGGUCAGGUAGAGAAUACCAAGGCGCUUGAGAGAACUCGGGUGAAGGAACUAGGCAAAAUGGUGCCGUAACUUCGGGAGAAGGCACGCUGAUAUGUAGGUGAAGUCCCUCGCGGAUGGAGCUGAAAUCAGUCGAAGAUACCAGCUGGCUGCAACUGUUUAUUAAAAACACAGCACUGUGCAAACACGAAAGUGGACGUAUACGGUGUGACGCCUGCCCGGUGCCGGAAGGUUAAUUGAUGGGGUUAGCGCAAGCGAAGCUCUUGAUCGAAGCCCCGGUAAACGGCGGCCGUAACUAUAACGGUCCUAAGGUAGCGAAAUUCCUUGUCGGGUAAGUUCCGACCUGCACGAAUGGCGUAAUGAUGGCCAGGCUGUCUCCACCCGAGACUCAGUGAAAUUGAACUCGCUGUGAAGAUGCAGUGUACCCGCGGCAAGACGGAAAGACCCCGUGAACCUUUACUAUAGCUUGACACUGAACAUUGAGCCUUGAUGUGUAGGAUAGGUGGGAGGCUUUGAAGUGUGGACGCCAGUCUGCAUGGAGCCGACCUUGAAAUACCACCCUUUAAUGUUUGAUGUUCUAACGUUGACCCGUAAUCCGGGUUGCGGACAGUGUCUGGUGGGUAGUUUGACUGGGGCGGUCUCCUCCUAAAGAGUAACGGAGGAGCACGAAGGUUGGCUAAUCCUGGUCGGACAUCAGGAGGUUAGUGCAAUGGCAUAAGCCAGCUUGACUGCGAGCGUGACGGCGCGAGCAGGUGCGAAAGCAGGUCAUAGUGAUCCGGUGGUUCUGAAUGGAAGGGCCAUCGCUCAACGGAUAAAAGGUACUCCGGGGAUAACAGGCUGAUACCGCCCAAGAGUUCAUAUCGACGGCGGUGUUUGGCACCUCGAUGUCGGCUCAUCACAUCCUGGGGCUGAAGUAGGUCCCAAGGGUAUGGCUGUUCGCCAUUUAAAGUGGUACGCGAGCUGGGUUUAGAACGUCGUGAGACAGUUCGGUCCCUAUCUGCCGUGGGCGCUGGAGAACUGAGGGGGGCUGCUCCUAGUACGAGAGGACCGGAGUGGACGCAUCACUGGUGUUCGGGUUGUCAUGCCAAUGGCACUGCCCGGUAGCUAAAUGCGGAAGAGAUAAGUGCUGAAAGCAUCUAAGCACGAAACUUGCCCCGAGAUGAGUUCUCCCUGACUCCUUGAGAGUCCUGAAGGAACGUUGAAGACGACGACGUUGAUAGGCCGGGUGUGUAAGCGCAGCGAUGCGUUGAGCUAACCGGUACUAAUGAACCGUGAGGCUUAA
rnacentral:rRNA from 1 species